UCUGCAUCAAUAUCAUUCCAGGCUUUUAUGACAAACUUGCACAAAACAUCCAACUGUGGAGCACGCAUGUUUCCUCCUUUUGUGAAUGACUUUUCGCCGCUAACCAUCCAUUCAUUCCACUGUUCUCAAAUGCGAUCUUUAAAUGGCUUGUUUAGGCACACAUCCAGUGGCUGUACCAACGAUGUCAAUCCUGCAGGAAUAACUGCUGCAUCUGUGUUUAGCCUUGCAAGCCUUUGUUUGGUGCUGGGAGUUAAAUGAGCCCUAAACAUAUCCCACACCAGUAGACUACGUUUUUGAAUAAGUCCACCUGGUCGCCUGCUCCAUACAUUAUCAAGCCAUAGCUUUACCCCUUCUUCAUCCAUCCAGCCUUUUUCAUUCACAUGUACAAAACAACCAACAGGGAACUUGAGUUUCGGCAUUGUUUUUCUUUUAAAAAUAAUCAUUGGUCUCAGUUUGGCGCCAUCAGCUGUGCAUCCUAGUACCACUGUAAAACUGGACUUCUCAUGUCCUGUUGUUUUAAUUAAAAUAGUUUUUUCACCUUUUUGAUGGACAGUUUUAUUUCCAACCAUAUCAAAAUUCAUUGGAGUUUCAUCCAUAUUUCCAAUACUACUUAACACAUAGCCAUGUUUAGUGCGCUGCUGUAUUACGUAUCGAUGGAAACUAUGUACUUUGCUGUCAAGAUCUGCAGGUAAUUUUUGGGCAAUUUUCAUCUUUUGCCUCAGUACCAUAUUAUGCCUUCCCAUGAAUCUAGUACACCAGGAUACAGUGGCCUUAAAUCUGUUGCUGUGAUCUGGGUUAGAUUUGGCCCACUGAAGUGCAAACAAAC